CGCCGUUGUCGGGGAACAAUUUGGCAUAUUGAGUUGGUUUGGAAUUUUAGUUUACUUGCUUGAAUUAAACUUGUAAAUAUUUGUUUAGUUUAUUUAUUUUAUUUUCUUUUUAUUUUUCUCACACCUUUCUUGAGAUGUCAGCCUGGAUAGAUUCUUUUUUGAGUGAUGACAAUUCUUGUGACGAUUCUUGUUAUUAUUGUGGGGG
rnacentral:lncRNA from 1 species